AUGCUAGCCGGUAGUCAGGCUCUUCGCCACCUUUCUACUGCUGCACAAAACCAAGGGAGCUUGCGGUCCUGCAGUCAAGCUUCUUCUGAUUCAAUAUGGUCUGGAAAAUCGAAAAAUUGAUGGAACAGGCCCAAAAAACAAAAAUAUUCUGAAAGGCGAUGUUAUGAAAAUAGUUGAAGCUGAAAAGCUGAAGCCGGUGGCUCAUCAUGCACAUGCUCCAAAAGAAACACAUAUUGAAAAUAAAUCUAUUGAAAAGAAAUCAGACAUUUUCGGCGCCAACAAUCGCAGUCUCCGUCAUCACCAAGAUAUUCCUCUCAGCAAUAUUCGAGCAACAAUCGCAAAACGAUUGACAGCUUCUAAACAGCAAAUUCCUCACGAAUAUCAAGGUGUUGACGUUCGAAUUGACGAUAUUCUGGCGUUGAGACAGAAAUUGAAAAAAUCCGGAACUGCUGUUUCGCUCAACGACUUUAUCAUAAAAGCCGCAGCCCUUGCACUGAGGUCCGUGCCGACAGUAAAUGUUCGAUGGACUCCAGAAGGAAUCGGUCUCGGAUCAGUCGAUAUUUCGGUCGCUGUGGCUACUCCAACCGGCCUUAUCACUCCAAUUGUAGAGAAUUCUGAUAUUUUGGGCGUUUUGGCGAUUUCUAGCAAAGUGAAGGAGUUGUCGGGAUUGGCGCGAGAAAGCAAAUUAAAACCACAACAGUUCCAGGGAGGAUCUUUUACAAUUUCGAAUCUUGGAAUGUUCGGAAGUGUGACCAACUUCACAGCCAUCAUAAAUCCACCGCAAUGUGCCAUUUUGACGAUCGGAGGAACUCGUUCUGAAGUUGUAUCUGUUGAUGGACAAUUGGAGACACAAAAAUUAAUGGGUGUCAAUCUUUGUUUCGACGGACGAGCAAUCUCCGAAGAAUGUGCAAAACGAUUCCUUCUUCACUUCUCCGAAUCGCUUUCUGAUCCGGAAUUGCUCAUUGCUGAACCACUUUCUCCAGAACUCGAUUUUGAUUUUUCGCGUUUAUUGUAG
rnacentral:misc_RNA from 1 species